CCUACGGGAGGCUGCAGUGAGGAAUAUUGGUCAAUGGGCGCGAGCCUGAACCAGCCAAGUAGCGUGAAGGAUGACUGCCCUACGGGUUGUAAACUUCUUUUAUAAAGGAAUAAAGUGAGGCACGUGUGCCUUUUUGUAUGUACUUUCUGAAUAAGGAUCGGCUAACUCCGUGCCAGCAGCCGCGGUAAUCCGGAGGGUCCGAGCUUUAUCCGGAUUUAUUGGGUUUAAAGGGAGCGUAGAUGGGUUGUUAAUUCAGUUGUGAAAGUCUGUGGCUCAACCAUAGAAUUGCCGUUGAACCUGGGAGGCUUGAGUAUGGUUGAGGCAGGCGGAAUGCGUGGUGUAGCGGUGAAAUGCUUAGAUAUCACGCAGAACCCCGAUUGCGAAGGCAACCUGCCAAGCCAUGACUGACGCUGAUGCACGAAAGCGUGGGGAUCAAACAGGAUUAGAUACCCCGGUAGUC
rnacentral:rRNA from 1 species